rnacentral:rRNA from 1 species
GACGAACGCUGGCGGCGGGCCUAACACAUGCAAGUCAAACGAGCAGUCAUUAAACUUCGGUUUAGUGGCGGGCGAGUGGCGCACGGGUGCGUAACACGUAGGAAACCUACCUUGGAGCGGGGAAUAACCACUGGAAACGGUGGCUAAUACCGCAUAUUGUUCAGAUAUCGCAUGGUAACUGAAUGAAAGCCUUCGGGCGCUCCAGGAUGGUCCUGCGGCGGAUUAGUUAGUUGGUGAGGUAACGGCUCACCAAGACCACGAUCCGUAGCUGGUCUGAGAGGAUGAUCAGCCACACUGGCACUGAGACACGGGCCAGACUCCUACGGGAGGCAGCAGUGAGGAAUAUUGGACAAUGGGCGAAAGCCUGAUCCAGCCACGCCGCGUGAAGGAUGACACCCCUCUGGGGCGUAAACUUCUUU